rnacentral:tRNA from 1 species
UCCCUGAGAGCUCAGUUGGUAAAGUAUCUGCCUGUACUGUAGGAGACCCCGGGUUCGAUUCCUGGGUUGGGAA